rnacentral:rRNA from 1 species
GACGAACGCUGGCGGUGUGCUUAACACAUGCAAGUCGAACGGUAAGGCCCUUUCGGGGGUACACGAGUGGCGAACGGGUGAGUAACACGUGAGUAACCUGCCCUCAUCUCUGGGAUAACAGUCGGAAACGGUUGCUAAUACUGGAUAUGAGCUUGCAAGGCAUCUUGUGGGUUGGAAAGAUUUUUUUUGGUUGGGGAUGGACUCGCGGCCUAUCAGCUUGUUGGUGAGGUAGUAGCUCACCAAGGCUUCGACGGGUAGCCGGCCUGAGAGGGCGACCGGCCACAUUGGGACUGAGAUACGGCCCAAACUCCUACGGGAGGCAGCAGUGGGGAAUAUUGCACAAUGGACGGAAGUCUGAUGCAGCAACGCCGCGUGCGGGAUGACGGCCUUCGGGUUGUAAACCGCUUUCAAUUGUGACGAAGCUUUUUUGUGACGGUAGCAGUAGAAGAAGCACCGGCUAACUACGUG